GUGCUCUCUUUGGCAGCACAUAUACUAAAAUUGGAACUAGACAGAGAUAGGCAUUGCCCCAGAGCAAGAAUGACACACAAAUUCGUGACGCUUUCAAUAAAAAA
rnacentral:snRNA from 1 species